UUUGCACCUUCUCAUGGGAAAAAAAGGAAAAACACAUUCCAGAGUUUUGUCAUGAUUUUUUGUGAUGACUUAAUAUUAAAUCAUAAUUAUUAGGACUCUGCUGCUGCAAAUAAAAGAAAAGUGCUCUUAUGAUGAGGUGGAUCUGAAGCAGCCAGCAGCACUUGCUAUUCUGGCUUUUACCUCAAGUUGUUCAUGUAGCCGUUUCUGGACCUCAAUCUGUAUCUGAAGUGCUUCACUUAUCUGCAUGGAACUGAAAUGUUGAUCUUGGUUUGGCAUCUGUUGAUAGGAUUAAUCCUGAAUCACCCUGUACGUUUCCUCCUUGAAGCAAAAGAUGUCUCUCUGGAGGAAAGGCUGCCCUAGCAGGAAGGAUGCUGUUCUUACUUGGGAAGUUCCCAGGAAAAUAGAGAUGCAUGAUUGGUGUGGGCGCCAAUCAACCAUUCUUGGUUUGAAACUGUACUGUGUUGGUACAUCUUUUGAAAAGUUGGAAUGUGACCAGCAACAAUUAGAAUUUAUGCCUCUCGGAUAAAGAAGGUUUGAGACGGGAGGAAUUCAUCAACCCAUGCACAUGGAAUUCAGAAUAUCGAAUUUCGAAUCCAAGGUUUUUGUCUCCAUUGGAUACUGCAGUUUAAGAUCUAAAAAUGAGCAGUUCCUGCAAAAGUAUUCCUGAUGGUGGGGGACAGAUUCUCCCCAAGUUUUGUUUUUCAGUAAAAGAAAAAUGGUUUUGCUGGCAAAGUUUAGUUCCAUGGGACCUGACCUGCGAAACAAUUUGCUCAAAACUCUAUCUGGUGAGUUUCUGCAAUCCUUUCUCUUUUUAAAUAUCUAAAUAUUUAAAUAUUCUUAGACCUGUGAUUUAAUUGUGACAUAUUUACCAAGGUUUCUUUUGCAUAUAUACAUGUAUGA